rnacentral:rRNA from 1 species
AGCGAACGCUGGCGGCAGGCUUAACACAUGCAAGUCGAACGCCCCGCAAGGGGAGUGGCAGACGGGUGAGUAACACGUGGGAACGUACCCUUUGGUUAGGAAUAACUUGGGGAAACUCAAGCUAAUACCGGAUAAGCCCUUAUGGGGAAAGGUUUACUGCCGAAGGAUCGGCCCGCGUCUGGUUAGCUAGUUGGUGAGGUAAUGGCUCACCAAGGCGACGAUCAGUAGCUGGUCUGAGAGGAUGAUCAGCCACACUGGGACUGAGACACGGCCCAGACUCCUACGGGAGGCAGCAGUGGGGAAUAUUGGACAAUGGGGGCAACCCUGAACCAGCCAUGCCGCGUGAGUGAUGAAGGCCUUAGGGUUGUAAAGCUCUUUUACCCGGGACGAUAAUGACUGUACCGGGAGAAUAAGCCCCGGCUAACUUCGUGCCAGCCGCCGCCGUAA